AUACGGAGGAUGCGAGCGUUAUCCGGAUUUAUUGGGUUUAAAGGGAGCGUAGGCGGGAGCUUAAGUCAGCGGUUAAAUGGUGCGGCUCAACCGUGCCCUGCCGUUGAAACUGGGUUUCUUGAGAGUGCAAGAGGCGGAUGGAAUUCAUGGUGUAGCGGUGGAAUGCUUAGAUAUCAUGAAGAACUCCGAUUGCGAAGGCAGUCCGCUGGGGCACGUCUGACGCUGAUGCUCGAAGGUGCGGGAAUCAAACAGGAUUAGAUACCCUGGUAGUCCGCACGGUAAACGAUGAUUACCCGGUGUCGGCGGUAGACAGUCGGCGGCCAAGCGAAAGCGAUAAGUAAUCCACCUGGGGAGUACGCCUGCAACGGUGAAACUCAAAUGAAUUGACGGGG
rnacentral:rRNA from 1 species